GGCACAACGACAACGCAGGAGGCAGAAAUGCCAUGUGUCUCACAGUAGCGACUAAGAAAGGACAUCCUCUGCCUCUCCUCCACAACCCCCCUCUGCCACUCCUUCUGAACCCCCCUCACCCUCUCACUUCCAACCCCCUCUGCCAUUCCUUCUGAAGCCCCCUCUCCCUCUCACUUCCAAUCCCCCUCUGCCAAUCCUCCUGGACCCCCUUCUCCCUCUCACUUCCAACCCCCCUCUGUCACUCCUUCUAAACCCCCCUCUCCCUCUCACUUCCAACCCCCCUCUGCCAUUAAUAAUGGAGAGGCCACCGCUUCUGGGGAUGAAGCUGCAGAAGCACCAUCCCAAACACACAAAAUUAUAUCCCUGAACGCUGAGUUUCCAGGAUGCGCACAUGAUUCUCGUGUGAUAAAGCAGUCAGGGAUUUGUCAAAGAUUAUCGGUGAUGCAAGGUGCUGAUGCGUGGUUGUUGGGGGUGGAAUAUUCCACCCAGGGUAAUCCUACGCAGUGCGCCCAAGAUGCCUUCCACACCUGGUACCCUGUGAGGGUCGAAUACACAACCCAUGGAAGUUAUUACCCAAAAUGCCUACACCAAUCCUGCAUUAUGAUUACUCUAUGUGUUCUAGGUAUUAAUUUUUAUGCCUGUGUGGCCUGUGUAUUGCUGUAUUAAUCUUCUGUAUUAUGUUUAUUUUUGUGUAAAGCACUUUGAGUCCUGUUUGGAGAAAGAGCGCUAUAUAUAAAUAAAAUUAUUAUUAUUAUUAUUAUUAUUAAUUAUUAUUAAUAACUCUGUUCAUGAACCCAUUAUAAUUUUUGAAUCACAUAACAUUAUAAAUGAGUUCAAGAUGGCACCGCGGUUGGCUGCCUUGGUGCUGCUCUGCCAAGCAACCUUCAUUUUUACAUGUAUAAUAUGUAUAAUAUGUCGAGUCUAUUGUACAGUUGCAAUGUGCAGUAUGAACUCAUACAUGUAAUGUUUGUAAUGUAUGCUGCGUUCUUCCCCCUUCUUAUGCUAUGUAUUCCCCCUUCAUGUUGCUGCUUGGCAAUGCAUUG